rnacentral:rRNA from 1 species
GAAUAUUGGACAAUGGGCGAAAGCCUGAUCCAGCCAUGCCGCGUGUGUGAAGAAGGCCUUUUGGUUGUAAAGCACUUUAAGCGAGGAGGAGGCUACUUAGAUUAAUACUCUAGGAUAGUGGACGUUACUCGCAGAAUAAGCACCGGCUAACUCUGUGCCAGCAGCCGCGGUAAUACAGAGGGUGCGAGCGUUAAUCGGAUUUACUGGGCGGAAAGGAUUCCUAGACGGCUUCUUAAGUCGGAGUUGAAAUCCCUGAGCUUAACUUAGGAAUUGCAUUCGAUACUGGGAAGCUAGAGUAUGGGAGAGGAUAUUAUAAUUCCAUGUCUAUCCGUGCAAUUCGUAGCUAUCUGGACUCAUCCCCCUCGCGAAUGCAGCCAUCUGGCCUAAUACUGACGCUGAGGUACGAAAGCAUGGGGAGCAAAC